UCAAUCAAACUUCGUGAUAGCUGGUUCUCCCCGAAAUGCAUUUAGGUGCAGCGUCGUGUGUUUCUUGCCAGAGGUAGAGCUACUGGAUGGCUGAUGGGCCCCAACGGGUUACUGACGUCAACCAAACUCCGAAUGCUGGUAAGUGAGAGCACGGCAGUGAGACUGUGGGGGAUAAGCUUCAUAGUCGAAAGGGAAACAGCCCAGACCACCGACUAAGGCCCCUAAGCGUGUGCUAAGUGGGAAAGGAUGUGGAGUUGCUCAGACAACCAGGAGGUUGGCUUAGAAGCAGCCAUCCUUGAAAGAGUGCGUAAUAGCUCACUGGUCAAGUGAUUCCGCGCCGUUAAUGUAGC
rnacentral:rRNA from 1 species